GAUCAUUACCACACCGAUCCAAGAUCAGUCUUCAUUGUGAAUUGUGCUAUCGCGGGCUUGGGUUUGUUUAACCCAUCCCGACGCCAACUUAACGCCGAAUCGAGCACUAGGAUCGAGCUUCGGCUCCAUCUAACGAUCUCUCCGGCAAACACCCGGUCGAAAGACUGGGUGCCCAAUACGUUUUUACGAUUGGUAACUGGAAAGAACCAAAUGACCUAAAGCAAAAAUGCAGUGGUUUUGGUGUCGUGUCCCUCUCGGGCCGACGCCACCCUGUACAUUAUACCUA
rnacentral:rRNA from 1 species